ACAUGCAAGUCGAACGAGAACGGGUUAAAGUUUACUUUAACUGUCAGCUAAGUGGCGCACGGGUGAGUAAUAUAUAGUUAAUCUGCCCCAAAGAAGAGAAUAAUUGUUGGAAACGACUUGUAACUCUCUAUAUGCCUUUAUCACAUAAGUGAGCAAGGGAAACAUUUAUGGCUUUGGGAUGAGACUGUACGGUAUCAGUUAGUUGGUAAGGUAAUGGCUUACCAAGACUAUGACGCCUAACUGGUUUGAGAGGAUGAUCAGUCACACUGGAACUGAGACACGGUCCAGACUCCUACGGGAGGCAGCAGUGGGGAAUAUUGCACAAUGGAGGAAACUCUGAUGCAGCAACGCCGCGUGGAGGAUGACACAUUUCGGUGCGUAAACUCCUUUUAUAUGAGAAGAUAAUGACGGUAUCAUAUGAAUAAGCACCGGCUAACUCCGUGCCAGCAGCCGCGGUAAUACGGGGGGUGCAAGCGUUACUCGGAAUCACUGGGCGUAAAGAGCAUGUAGGCGGAUAGAUAAGUUGGAAGUGAAAUCCUAUGGCUUAACCAUAGAACUGCUUCCAAAACUGUCUAUCUAGAAUAUGGGAGAGGUAGAUGGAAUUUCUGGUGUAGGGGUAAAAUCCGUAGAGAUCAGAAGGAAUACCGAUUGCGAAGGCGAUCUACUGGAACAUUAUUGACGCUCAGAUGCGAAAGCGUGGGGAGCAAACAGGAUUAGAUACCCUGGUAGUCCACGCCCUAAACGAUGCACACUAGUUGUUGCCUUGCUAGACAAGGCAGUAAUGCAGUUAACACAGUAAGUGUGCCGCCUGGGGAGUAC
rnacentral:rRNA from 1 species